UGCGCUGAGCAGUUCCAGAACCAGAUCCGCAAGUGAGUCCGCUCUGACCUCUGACCCCGAGGGGAAGUGCUGUGGAGUAACGUGAGCUGCUUGUGUGCAGGUCCUGUCCCGAGUGCCGCGUGGUGUCCGAGUUCGUCAUCCCCAGCGUGUACUGGGUGGAGGACCAGGAGGAGAAGAACCGGCUCAUCGAGGAGUUCAAGUCUGGAGUCAGUAAGAAGCCCUGUAAGUACUUCGAUCAGGGCAGAGGAACGUGUCCGUUUGGAGGCAAGUGUUUCUACAUGCACGCCUACGCUGACGGGGACACGAGCAGAGCCAGACAAACCCCGCAAACAGCUGAGCGCAGAGGGGGAACGUGCGGUUUCUGAACUCAGUGCGUCUGUGGGACUUCAUCGAGGAGCGCGAGCAUCGCGGGACGGCGCAGGACGAGGACGAGGUCACUGAACUGGGCGAGCUCUUCAUGCAGCUGUCAGGAGCCGGAGACCAGAGCGGCUCGGCAGCGUCACAUUGAUCACAUGACUCACCUGAAACAUCCGGCCGAUGAACGUGUGUCGACAGCUCAUCGACGACCACAGUUUACAAGAGCUAAAGCAUAAAGUACAUCCAUAUCCAUAUGAAAUUAAAGCACCUUGGUGGUAUCUGUAGGCUGCGAUAUUGCAUUGGGAUUUUGCCAGAUUUUUAACGUAAAGUCCAAAGACGAAUGUACGAUGAAAACAUGAUUACUAAAAUAAAUUUUCAAAUGCACUCCAGUAGUGUAUGAAGUGUAUUACAGAAAUAGUUUAGUGUUUAAAAAAAAAAAAAAAGAUUAAGCUAGUAAUUGUUGCACUUAGUUCAUAUAACGUAUAUUCAUAACUUUAUAACUUUGGGCAUCAUGCAAUAUUGCUGUGGUUAAAAGUAAACCGUUGACUUUGUCACCAGUGAAUGGAGCGAGCGUUUGGAUUAUAGUUCUGAUCUCAUCGUGCUGAAUUCACUCAUCUGGUCUACUCUUGAAUCUGAUCAUGGGUUAUUAUACUGCGUUUUCUGAAGUGUAUUGUUGAGUGGCGCUGGAGGGAGUGUAAUAAAGCGUUUAGCGACCGACUGGCCUGUGUGUGUUUGAAACAAUCGCUUGAUCACAGUUAUUGCACAAAUGCACUGAACCUUCAGAGAAUUCUUUCAAACCCUGCUUAUGCUAGAAAACAAGAGAUUAAUAAUGAGCUCUGAAGGGCACUAAUAUGGUGCACAAUAUUUCCUCUCAUGCAUGGUUUGGUGAAAGGAGGUGCUUCACCUUCAUCAAAAAAAACGUUCAUUCACCUCAGCAGGCUUCAAUAUUUACGUGUUUGUAAUAGAAACAAUAAUGCUUUGAUGUUUGACAGGGAAAAUUUUUUUUAAAGCGCUGAAUUUAAGAAUGCAGUCAACAAACUGUGAAAAUUAAUUAGUCAUGAAUUAUGGAUGAACAGAUAUUUAAAAGCACUGAUUUGGUGAUUGUUUUUUGUUUUUUUAUGAGACCUUGUUUUAAGUGUGUACACUGUUGCAAAAGAAAUGCAAGUAAUUCUCUGAACCAAAUUCUCAAUGGCUCAAACCACUUUAUCAAAUGAAUCACUCUUUCUGCAAAACCUUAAACAAGAAUCAACUACUCAAAGCUUCAUACGAAGCACAAAUCGCUUUAAAAACUUGAGCUUGUGUGGUGUAUUUAACUUAAUUUUAUUAAAAUACAAUGAAUAAACAAUCUGUCAAGUUUACAAGUUAAUUCUCCAUGACAAGCACUAAAAGCGAAUCCCUAAUAACGUUACUACCCACUCUUCUUCCUUUGAUUUUUGUAACAUACACAAAGUCAAAGAGACAUCUAGACACGAUGAUAAAGUGCUCCCUACACCUUGUGCUUGUUUAGAUGGGUCUGCUAUAAAAACACCACCGGCUCCGCGUUCACACUGGCACUUAGGGAAUAUAUACAAGCGGCGACACGUCGAGCCUCUCGAGUGAGGAGAGACCCAUCAGACGCGAUACAGCCAGACGCAGCCAAUCAAAGAGUGAGCUGCGUGAAGAAAGUGCUAUCAGCUGUUCCUCAGCAGCAUCCGUGAAGUCAGCCAGCUCAAGCGGAUCAAGCUCCCCGGCCGUCUUAAGUUAACACACACAAUAUACUACACAAAGCACAGAAAUCAAACAUCUGGACGCUCGCGGGUGUCCCUUCAUAGCUCUACUCUGUAGAC
rnacentral:lncRNA from 1 species